CAACGGUGAAACUCAAAGGAAUUGACGGGGGCCCGCACAGGCGGAGGAACAUGUGGUUUAAUUCGAUGAUACGCGAGGAACCUUACCCGGGUUUGAACGUAGUCCGACCGCGGUGGAAACACCGCUUCUAGCAAUAGCGGAUUACGAGGUGCUGCAUGGUUGUCGUCAGCUCGUGCCGUGAGGUGUCGGCUUAAGUGCCAUAACGAGCGCAACCCUUAUCACUAGUUACUAACAGGUCAUGCUGAGGACUCUGGUGAGACUGCCAGCGUAAGCUGUGAGGAAGGUGGGGAUGACGUCAAAUCAGCACGGCCCUUACAUCCGGGGCGACACACGUGUUACAAUGGUGGGGACAAAGGGCAGCUACACAGCGAUGUGAUGCCAAUCUCCAAACCCCAUCUCAGUUCGGAUCGGAGUCUGCAACUCAACUCCGUGAAGCUGGAUUCGCUAGUAAUCGCGCAUCAGCCAUGGCGCGGUGAAUACGUUCCCGGGCCUUGUACACACCGCCCGUCAAGCCAUGGGAG
rnacentral:rRNA from 1 species